CGUUAGCGGCGGACGGGUGAGUAACACGUGGGUAACCUACCUAUAAGACUGGGACAACUUCGGGAAACCGGAGCUAAUACCGGAUAAGAUAUCGAACCGCAUGGUUCGAUAGUGAAAGAUGGUUUUGCUACCACUUAUAGAUGGACCCGCGCCGUAUUAGCUAGUUGGUGAGGUAACGGCUCACCAAGGCAACGAUACGUAGCCGACCUGAGAGGGUGAUCGGCCACACUGGAACUGAGACACGGUCCAGACUCCUACGGGAGGCAGCAGCG
rnacentral:rRNA from 1 species